GGGCGAGAGGAAAAGUCUUUACUCGGCGUUACAAGCAAACAAAUCAGAGAUGGAAUAAGCGGCGAUUGCUGCAAGCCCUGCUGGAUUCUGGAAGUCGCGGGAGCUGAGCGCACGGUGCGCAUCCGGCGAGGACAGCGGCGACUGCGGGCGCUGCCCAGGGCCGCGGGACUUCAGCUUUCCCCUAAGUCCACAAACCUUUAGAUGACUUUGACAUUUGUGGAAUAAAGAGCAGAGACUAAAGAGGAAACGCUGGUCUCGCGCUCUCCAUCUUCCACUUGCUUUGGGGAGGGGAUCCCAGUUUGGAUGUGAAGAGAUUACCGAGUCCCCUUUUGCCAUCCGAGGAGGCAAGCACACUCGCGCGCGCGAGCACACACACGCACGCUCGGGGCCACUCUGCUCACCCUCCGCGAGCACACAUCGCCAGACUUUGGGUCCCUAUGCCCCUGGGUGGUGACGGCGGAUUGGCAUCUCGGAAGCGAUGCAUGAGCGGUAAGGCUGGCGUCGGCCCGCGGAAGCUACAGGACGAUCGCUAGGUGCUGCCGCCACCCGGAAGCCCGGCUGCAGAAAUCGAUUUUGGCGUAAGAUCGCAUGAUAAUUCCAGCAAAUUACCCUUGUGUGGAUUUGAAAAUAGUAAAGAAUGAAAACAGCCCCACUGCUUCUUUCUCCUCUGGAAUUUCUGCUGUGACGUUGAGGAUGAGUAAGAGAUACUUACAGAAAGCAACGAAAGGAAAGUUGCUGAUAAUAAUCUUCAUCGUAACCUUGUGGGGAAAAGUUGUAUCCAGUGCAAACCAUCACAAAGCUCACCAUGUUAAAACGGGGACUUGCGAGGUGGUGGCCCUUCACAGAUGCUGUAAUAAGAACAAGAUAGAAGAAAGGUCACAAACAGUCAAGUGCUCCUGCUUCCCUGGGCAGGUGGCAGGGACCACAAGAGCUGCUCCGUCUUGUGUGGAUGCUUCCAUAGUGGAACAAAAAUGGUGGUGUCAUAUGCAGCCAUGUUUGGAGGGAGAGGAAUGUAAGGUUCUUCCAGAUCGGAAAGGAUGGAGUUGCUCCUCUGGGAAUAAAGUAAAAACAACUAGGGCAAACGUGUAAAACUCUUCAAGUUCAAAUGGAGAAGUAGAAAGAGAAGGUUUCUGCUGUGCCUGAUGACAAUUUGAUUUUCCACUUUCAAAAUAUUCUGGCUCCAUGUUGGGGCAGUAGUUGUGAAUCCUAGUGUUGGUCGGAUUCUAAGGAAGGGGCAGAAGUUUCCUUGAGAAGUAAAGAUUCAAAACAACUCCAGAAAUGAGCUCCUGUCUUGAUUUAUUAUCUCACAGAGCAGCAGGUAACUCAUUAACCAAGUAUAAAUUAAGUGAUCCUCAAGGCUGGGUACAUUGAACACAUAUAUAGAAACUUGACUUCUGAGGUGAUCUUGAAGAUUUUUAUACCUCUCAGAAAAGACGCUACAGAGUAUGUUUCCAAGGAAUUCCAUGGCUCAUCAUCAGCUUCUUGUUGAAACCAAGACUUUUGAAAAGUCUGAUGUGAACUUCCAUGUCCUAAAGACUUCACAAGAUGUGAACUGUCCUUGGCUUGUGACAUUUCUGGGGGAAGCUGAUGUUGCUCUCCAUAGAGAUGGUGCAGAAUUGAUGUUCCCAGGGUGACACCAGAGACUGUCACCUGUGGAGCUCCUGGCUGCAGCUGUGACUGCUUUUCUUGUUUCCGAAGCUGUUUCCCAAGUGCACUGUCCUGUCACGGAUGUGUUCCUGGGUCCUUUGUUCAUUGUCUAGUAAGACGGUGCACAGCUUUGAUGACAUUUCCUUUGCAGACUCCUCUGGCAUGGCGUAGACCGAGACAAUUGUAUUGGCAUCCUAAUCUUGAAACUCCGAAAGCCUACAUGUUUUAACAUCUUACAGUUGCUUUUGUGAAAGGAAUGGAAGUAUAUAUCCAUUGAUAAGGAUUAUCAUUGGCAAGUAAUAGUAACCUGAAUACAUCAAUCAUAUAAGAAUGUAUAGACAAGCUGACAUGUUUCCCCAAGGCUAACAUACAACUCCAGCUCUGUGUCAGUUUAACAGGCCGCAGCUAGAACUCAAUUACCAUUUUCAUUAUAUAGUACUUUGUACCUCUAGCAUACCUUCCCUUUCAGUUUUUUAAAUGGAUUUUCUUUUUUCUGUUUCUCUUUUGUUUCCUUCACAGAAAUCAGCAAUGUGCAGUCAAAUUAGUAGGUAGCCUUCAACUUAAAAAAAAAAUUACCAGGGAUGCAUGUGAGUUUCUGAUUUCUUAUCUUGAACAUUGUUCACUUAGAUUACUUCUAGUAUUUUUUUAAAAUUAUCCUUUCUGUCUCAUUUUAAGAUUGUCUCUUGCUUGAUCCUGAUGACUGUUUGAAUGCUUAUAUAUUUGUUUGUUCAGUCUGUUGAUAGAAAAAAACUGUUCAUUUUUCCUUGACCUCAAAGGUAUAAAUAUUUGCCUACAACUGUUCCACUCAAAUAAUUUUUUAGGCCAGUAUUUUGUCCACAUUUUUAUAGUUAUUUUAACAUUUAUGAUUUUUUUCAGUUCUAUGGGAACAUCUUAUAAAUAUUUAAAGGCCUUAAACAUUUAUUUACUUUUUCUAAGUUAUUACAGAAUUAUAAUUUUAUACUACAUUAAUUUUGUUUCACUUGUGAUAUGGAGGGAGGAAAGAAUGGGCACUGAGUUGACACUCCAUAAUGAUGCUGUGCAACCCUGUAGUCUGAAGAAAUCGAAAGGCAGGAUUUCUGGGUCUUACUUAUUUCAGACUAACCAGAAGAUGCUGCAGAAGUAGAUUUACUAAAGGUUCCAUCAUGUUGGUAAAAACUUGCUGACAUUGCUAAGUAGCCAAUCAUUGGUUUCCAGGAUGGAGACUCACAUGCCCUAAAGAAUUUUCAUCUGUUAAUCUGUAAUGAUGAUCGAAGACUUAUACAUUAACCAGACUCUUUACCAGGAAGAGAUAAAAGUAUAAAAAUCUAUUAAAAAUAAAAUUUGAAAUUAUACUUCUAAUACUGAGCUAAAAUCAAUAUUUCAUGAACAGAUGCAAAGGCGUGACAUCCUGCCUCCAUUUUAAUUGUGCGUAAAACCAAUUGAGUUAUUCUGAGUGGGUUUUGUGAUAGCUCAAGACUACACAAGUCAGAAAGAAAGGAAGAGCAGUUAUACUAGACUUUCUGCAUCAAUUAAAAUAAUGUUUUCUUCAGCACAAAGUGGAAAACUAUUAUUUUGAAAAUUAUGAAUUUAUUCUAAUUUGUUUGAUGUUUAUCAUUUUUAAAACUAUGUCACUUAAAGCAACAUUGAAAAUUCUGUAUUAUAUAAAAGUGUAAUACAUGCAUAUCAAUAGAAAAAUUAAUGGAAUUUCAAAUAUAUGAACUAGAUUAUUCCCAGUAGAUUAAUGUUGUGGCUAUUCAGAAAAAGUGAAUAAAAUUUGGAUAUAAAAUGGACUUUCUUGCACAAGCACAGUUUGGAGAAUCUGUUUGUUUGCAUUUUAUUUUAAAAGCACUUCAGUUAAUAACCAGUAAAAUCCUGAAUUCAAAAGAAAACUGAA